UACAGAGGUCCCAAGCGUUGUUCGGAUUCAUUGGGCGUAAAGGGUGCGUAGGCGGCGCGGUAAGUCGGGUGUGAAAUCUCGGAGCUUAACUCCGAAACUGCAUUCGAUACUGCCGUGCUUGAGGACUGGAGAGGAGACUGGAAUUUACGGUGUAGCGGUGAAAUGCGUAGAUAUCGUAAGGAAGACCAGUGGCGAAGGCGGGUCUCUGGGCAAUAACUGACGCUGAGGAGCGAAAGCGUGGGGAGCGAACAGG
rnacentral:rRNA from 1 species